rnacentral:rRNA from 1 species
CAGUCGACGGUGAGCCCAGCUUGCUGGGUGGAUCAGUGGCGAACGGGUGAGUAACACGUGAGCAACCUGCCCCUGACUCUGGGAUAAGCGCUGGAAACGGCGUCUAAUACUGGAUACGAGUAGCGACCGCAUGGUCAGUUACUGGAAAGAUUUAUUGGUUGGGGAUGGGCUCGCGGCCUAUCAGCUUGUUGGUGAGGUAAUGGCUCACCAAGGCGUCGACGGGUAGCCGGCCUGAGAGGGUGACCGGCCACACUGGGACUGAGACACGGCCCAGACUCCUACGGGAGGCAGCAGUGGGGAAUAUUGCACAAUGGGCGCAAGCCUGAUGCAGCAACGCCGCGUGAGGGAUGACGGCCUUCGGGUUGUAAACCUCUUUUAGCAGGGAAGAAGCGAAAGUGACGGUACCUGCAGAAAAAGCGCCGGCUAACUACGUGCCAGCAGCCGCGGUAAUACGUAGGGCGCAAGCGUUAUCCGGAAUUAUUGGGCGUAAAGAGCUCGUAGGCGGUUUGUCGCGUCUGCUGUGAAAUCCGGAGGCUCAACCUCCGGCCUGCAGUGGGUACGGGCAGACUAGAGUGCGGUAGGGGAGAUUGGAAUUCCUGGUGUAGCGGUGGAAUGCGCAGAUAUCAGGAGGAACACCGAUGGCGAAGGCAGAUCUCUGGGCCGUAACUGACGCUGAGGAGCGAAAGGGUGGGGAGCAAACAGGCUUAGAUACCCUGGUAGUCCACCCCGUAAACGUUGGGAACUAGUUGUGGGGUCCAUUCCACGGAUUCCGUGACGCAGCUAACGCAUUAAGUUCCCCGCCUGGGGAGUACGGCCGCAAGGCUAAAACUCAAAGGAAUUGACGGGGACCCGCACAAGCGGCGGAGCAUGCGGAUUAAUUCGAUGCAACGCGAAGAACCUUACCAAGGCUUGACAUAUACGAG